UCGAUGGCUAGUUUACAGCAUCAUGCGUGCAGUUAUGGCUCUGUGACAUCAAAGCUACUUUAAAGUCAGUAACGUGUAGAUGUCGUUUAAAAAAUGUUUAACAAGGUAAUUGUGGAACCCGAAGAAUAUAUUAGAUUCAAAACAUUACUCCAAGCAGAGUAAUUUUAAAUGUCUGAAAACUCUUCUGGAAAGUGAUCCAUAGAAAGAAAACAAUAUAACUUCACACAAACCCUAGAAGUUUGGGCCCCACUUCUGCCAACAGGUCCCAGUGUGGUCUCUUAGCAACAUCUUAAAGCAGUUGUUGCACCAUAAAGUGACACUCUUUCCCAAGUGAAAUGACACUUCCAGGGUUAAUAGUUGAACUGCUAGAGCGGGCCUGACAGAGUUAGUCCAUCACAGGAGCUCCAGGAGACUCUCUCUAUUCUCUUUACUGUUCUGUAUUCUUUCCCCUGCAUUCUGUUCACCGUUUAACACUUCCUUCAAAGUCACUGAGAAGGGAGACUACAGUGAGUUAGCAAAUUCAUUAGCCAAUUAGCUUAGCUUGGUCACUUCUGGGAAUUGUACCAUCAUUACUGUGUCUGCAAACACUGCUCUUUUUGUGAAGCAGUCUUUAUACCAGCUGAGGUGUUAAAAUAGGAGCGAAAUAUAGCAACAUAGUAAAUCAGCUUCCCUCAAAGGUAGCACUUUAAAGGCGAGACCAUAGUCAGGCUUACCAUUCUCAAGUGGACCCAUUAGAAUUAAUCUGUUUUCCUGUAGAAAGCAAAUCAGAUAGUUGAAAAGACAGAGUAAGAUUUUUUCCAUUUAAAUCCUAGUGUGACCUAAUCGUAUUGUCUAACUGAUAAAAUUCUACCACAACUCUCCACUCUGCAGCCUGUUAAACUUGACUCUGGUAUUUCAAUCCAAUACAGAAGACAGCAAAGAACAGCAAGAGGAGAGGUGACACACUCAUGUAGAUGUGAUUAAAUGUAAUAUCUAAAUCUCUAUUGUUAGUGAAAGCAACGCUAUCCAAAGUGUGCGUUUGUUUGGAUGAAAAUGAGCUCCAAAUGACAGAUUAGAAGCCGAUAGGAGACCGUCUCUGUCAAUCAUCAUCUUACAACUGAACAAAAUGCUAAAUGUUAUGAAACAUGCUGGUGUUGGUGAUGUACAAGAGAGGGCAUCUCAUUUUGGAAGGAACUCCGUGACAGUCGGUUUCCUCCUUAUGCUCUUUUUUGACUUCUCUCAGUCUUUAUCUGACACUUGUGAAAUAAGGGUAUUCCAACUUGUCUGUGAAUCCCGUGACAUCUGCUAUUACGCAUUUCAGAGGGUUGUCUUUGGCGAUUUAUUUGCAGGUUUGGAAAAUGAAUUUAACAUCACCGGAUUAGAAAGCAUAGGAUUUAUUAUAUCCAUCACCAUAGCAGUGAGUGACACUAAGCUGUCUUUCAAGCAUCCAAAUGAUACUCUCAAAUUUAAUGAGAUCUUAAGCCCUGCCAACAUAUAAUUAAAAACGUUGACACAGAGGAAUAAGAAAGCAAAGAUGUCUCCCAGGACUCUGCAGUGAACUUCGAGCCACAACACUUAGCAAGAACUAUUCAUUAAAUACAUAAACUGUGGAAGCACAGUAGCAGGCUAUCCAUUAUUUGCUGCCAUCUUGCAACUGUUUGAAGAUGUCUUUAGUUCUGUUCCAUUCUCAUGAGUGGAUAUCUAUUAUAUUUAACCCUUGAAUCCUCUGUUUUUAUCCCUAUGCUGUGUUUUAAUCUUUUUUGAUGGGCAAGAACUGAAGUGCAAGAUACAAAGCGACACUCUCUCCUAUUGGUACUUUAGCCUGUAAAAGGCUUUCUUAUGUAGCUGAUAUACUAAAAAAAAAGAAUCCAAGUACCAUGAUCUCUCACCCUGUAUCCUUUAAAAUAGUUUCUUUGCCUGCUUCUGUCAAAAGAUCUAAGGCAGUGGCAUUUUCCUAAAAGCCGUCUGCUCCCAGCAGGUGAGGGUGAUGACAGGGUCUGGUGGCAGGCCAAAGCCUGGCUGGCACGUGUUGUGCCUUCACCCAGUCGCUUCCUGCCAUCGCGAGCAUAUGGGUGGAGACGCUGCUAUCCAUUGGCUCUUUCCCAACAAUCUAUCACCUUUGCCCACAUACAAACAAAGACCAUACUGGACUGGAACACAAAUCAGUGUUUUGCUCGUGUGACCCUAUUGCAUAAACCUGUUAGAACAACCACUGAUGCAUAAUGAUGCCUCAGAGUCUAGUUUGUUUUCAGUGUCUAUACAGAUAGUUUUUUGAAGUUGCUGACUUUUUUGGCAUUCAUUGCAGUUGCACUGUGCAUUUAUGUUGUGCUGAAACUUUAGCAGGCUGUCCAACUUGUGAAGUUGGCUUCAGAAAUGAUUAAUUAGAGUCCUUGAACUUGGACGAUGGUCCUGCAAACAGAUCUUUCCGUUCUCUCAAUGCCAUGUUUUUCUCACUUACACUUGCACCGAGGAAGCAAUGAUACACAAAAGCUGGCUUGGUGUCUUCGCAACUGUCGCCCUGAAUAUUUAUUAUGACGCAGGCUGCAAAAACAACAUAUGGUGUAGGCAUUUUUACUGGACUUGCCAUUCAAGGUGAUUGGAAGUCUUUGCAGUGUUAUCUCUGGUGCACUUUUGCCUGUACAAAGCCUUUUCACCUUUGUGUUGUAGCCGAUUAAACCCAGAUAAUAAUAGAAGCAAGAAGUGGAAAAACCAACCCCCACCCCCCAGAAGCCCUUGCUGGACUUGCAGUCUCUCUUACACUUUCAGGAGCUGUCGCUUUGAAUCGGCAGAAGGCAGCCAGGCUGAAGAUUUCCCACUGACUGGAGAGGAGUCGUUGGCCAGGCUUUCCUUGUCACUGGGAGUUAAGGCAGUCACUGAUCCUAAUGCUUACACUGUUGUUGCAGCAUUCCAAUUUUUAAUCACUGCAUGACUUGUCAGACUUAAUGAGGGCAGUCGGGUAAGAAUGAUCAACAUACCAAUAAUGAGAACAUCACAGGCUGACAAUGACUCCCGGUUUUAAAUAUAUAUCCAGGAUAGUGUGCAGCCAGAAGCACAGAAAAACAUAUCGAGCGAGCUGUAAACGACGGUGCAGCCGGUUUCCUGCAGGAUGAUUGGUUGCUAAGGUGACUGCGAACACUGCAGCCAUCUUAUGCAAUCAUAGCUCUUUACAUCAACCUAGCCAACAAAAACUCUAGUGGGCUCACCUUUUCCACAAAUUACACAGAUGUGAAGGGGGGAAAAAAAACAUCCAUAGCAUUAAAUGCGAGCCAAAGGUAGACUUGAUUUACAGCCUGCAAAUGUAAAUGAGAUGCAGGUUUGGUCUGUAUUCCGAACAUCUGCAAAAGUCUUAAGACAAAACUUUACCCUCUGUGUGUAGGUGUGUGAGCAGGCAGGUGUGUGUGUGUAUAUGUAAAGAAAUCUUAGCCAAGGCCGAGCGUGGCUGGCGUGUGUUCUGUCAGAUGUCUCUGCCCCUCUUUAAUCCUUUGUGUGCAGGAGGGUCAAGAGGCAAGCAGACUCCGACUGUAGUAGCUGGAGGAAACGGUGAAGACGAGAGACUCUCCACCUUUAGUCCAUCAUCUCGAGCAGAUCAAGGCUUUGAAAAAUACUAAAGAGGAAGGAGUAGCUUAUGGAAUGACAAAACAAGAUGAGGUUCGACCAUUUAUAGGCAUGUCAGCAAUGCAUAUAUUGCUGUUUUGUGUGAUAAAACUAUUAUUUUGUGCAGAUUUGAAUCAUAAGUUGUGCAAAGAUUUAUUACCAUGCAUCUCACAGUACUACGAAGACGAAAAAAGCUGCAAAUUCACAACUUUUGUGGCAUUUUAUAACUGCAGUGCUUAAUAAAUGAUUUCAAAAAAGUAGAUGCAGUUGCUGAAUAAUUGCAGCAUUGCAGUUUACAUUUAAUGCAAAAAUAUAACCUACAUAAAUGAAGAAAAGUGAAGAUUAUUAUCUAGGGGAAGGGUGAGAUCAUACAGUUUAUUAUAGUUUACAUUGGGUUAUUUGCUUUUCCAGCACGAGGCUCUUAAAGAGUGAAAUGCCAAAUACCAGCAAUAAUAAUAGCAAUUUUAAGGGACCCAGUAGGGGUUAAAGGUCGACUAGGGGCGCCAGUGUGUUGCUGUCUCUUUUAUUAAUAAACAACAUUCAUUAAAGAAGAACUGGGGAGCACCCUAACAGAAUAUUACCACAUCUUUCCCCUUCCUUUGUGUGAUAAGAAGAACCCUGGUGAUUUCUCACAUGGCUGCAAAAAAGCUACAGGGGAAUUUCUCUCAGAAGCUGCCCCUUCAGCUCAAUUCCUCCCCACAUUUCCGAAAGCUUUUCAUUCGUAUCCCCUGGAAACCGCUCCACAUUCUUUAAACUCUCCGUCUUUUUUCUUUUUUUUUUUUCUUGAAGAAGAAGCAGAAGAGGAGGGGAAAAAAGGCCCUUACACGUUUUGUUAUGCCCUUUGAUCACACGUUUAUCUUUAAAACAGAUGGCUGACCACCGUCCUGUUUAGAUCAACACACGCAUUUUUUGAAAGAGGCGGCCAGAAAUUGGGUUUAGCAUCACUUGAAAUCUAUGAAUCCCAAAUCAUACAAAUAAAGCCUCAUCUAUUCUCACCAAAGCUUUAAAGAAAAAAAGCCUAACUAGCUCCCCCAUCCCCCAUAAUAUCCAUGUCUGCAGCCUAGAGCUUUACUUCCUAUUUCUAAGUCAGUUCCUUACAAAAGAUAAUCUACUAAUGUGAUUACUGUUCAAUUACUGUUGUAUAAAUCAGAGAAUUAUGUAUACACACACACAGUGGCUGAAAUCAUCUGCAGUAAUUUGCACCAGGUUGCAGGUACUGAAAAGUGUGAAGAGCUUUAUUUAGUGGUGAAUAUAAGAUGUGACAUGUAAUUGUGUCUUAAUAAAGCAGCAAAGCAAAGUGCAUAUGAGGGGUUUCAAAUGAACGUUUAAUCUUUCAAUCCAUAUUUAUCUGAGGAGUCAAGAAUGCUUCUGCUAGGAGGCUACUGUACAUCAAACAGCUGUCAGAUGUCCACAGAGGCUUUCAAGUGAACUGACAUGCUCUUUUAUGUACUGUGGUCAUUUAUGUUUUCAAAAUUGCAUUAGCUUUUGUCGGCGCUGAGCUCUUUGCCGGUGCGAUUAUUUUUUUUUUAACCGCUGCUAAAGUUCAUACCGGCUUAAUCACAUUCAAUUAGUAACAUUGUGAUUUCUGACCUGGUGUCACAGCUGGGGGAAAUGUAUUGUUUUGUUGCAUUUGAACAAUCUCAAUCUCAUUUUUUUUUAUACAUUACCAUCAAUUAGAAAUUGAAAUAAUCACAGGUCACCUUCGAAACUAUGUUUUUUCAGUAACAACAGGUUAGCAACCCCUCAUUAGUCGAUGAGUCGGAUGCAUUUACGAGGUCAUUUCUCUGGGACACGAGGUUAUGAUGAUGAAUGGUAGCAAACCACUGCCGAGACGCUCUUUUUCCCAUGUCGCCGUGCUGGUUGCUAUGGUGGACAUGAGGGCAAUUUAAGCGUCACCAUAUCCACCAGGGGGGCGCCCUCUUGGGUAAGUGGCUUUGCAAUAGAAAGCUGACGCCUGCCACUGCCAUCAAGGUUGUUGUCACAGGCGGCUCUUUAAGCACCGAGUCGCCAUGUUAAGAGAUGAAGGUUGCCGUGAAAGAGUGACGGCGAGGACAAGAAUUACAGGGGGAUAGGCGCCGGGGAACGAGUUCUCAGAAUGUUGCUUACACGAGAACAUGCAGGAAUAUUACCUAAUCAGUCAAAUCCUCCCAAGCUGACACCUCUUCUGAGACACCCGAUGAUACCCCCACUGAACUCCGGUGCCCCCCACCCGUGGCUCAGCCAUGAGGGAGCCCCCAAGAGAGAAUCUGUGGUUUUGGAGCUUCUUCUUGACAGACACUCAAAAUUGCUCCAAUGGUUUUGCAUACAGUGCAGUAUCCAUCUACCGGGGGCACUUUACCCUCAAUUAAAAGUGUACCGGUGAAGCUGCAUAUUUUGCAUUUCGUAACAAUGUGUGUGCUAAACUGAAGGUGAUCUUAAUAGGAUUUUCUGCGGUUGGGAACCAGAGAUUAGGAGCUUUAUAUUGCAGUGCUCGAGCAUCUGAACAGGGGAGUGUUUUAAUCUGAACCGCAUUAAAAAAAAUGCCAGACUGGAAAAGUUAAAGGACAAGACAUCAAAAAGAAGUGCCCAUUACCUCUUCGUUUUAAAGGUGUGAGUUAGCACAUUACAUGUUAAUAUCUGCUGGAGCUAAAAGUGCAGGAAGCUUUUUCAUCCUUUUCAAAAUUAAUGUCCAUUUAAACCGCAGUCUUAAUUUUGUCACUUUAAUUCUUGGUUAGAAUGUAACUAAGCCAUUUUUAACAUACAUCUGAAACUUGUUUUUUUGGUUCUAUUAUGCUAACAGAAAGUUAAUUCAGUCCAUACAGUAAUUGAACUUUCUGCAACACACAGAGCGACACACACACACACCACAUAUAUAUGCGAGCAAAUUGUAUGCUAAUGACUGACCAGAAAACGUAAAAGGAAAGCACAGGGAUGUGGUCGACCUACAGCUGUUAAAUAUAUAAUCCAUCUGUAAUCAAAUUUGACAGUUAAUCAAGUGAGGCAUUUGUAAUGCAGACAUUUGGACAGACAUAACUAACUCCAUCAGCGUUUGCAUAAUAAAUGUAUGAUUUUAAUGAUGUUUCUAUUAAGCCUCGUCGCUCACUUUACAAAUGAUUUGAGGUGUCUGCUGUUUAUUUGUUUUUCGGGGGUCUAUAGAUUGUUGCUAGGAGCAAUAAUUAUGAUGGGGUGUGAGGUGGAGGGGGUCAGCAGAGUUGGAAUUCAAGGGAAAAAAUGUAAUUACUUAAAGAUUGGUUGAAUUAAUUUCUAAUGAUAUUCACUUGUUUUGCAUGACAGCUGCCAAGACCCAUUCAAGAAUGGCGGAGAGUAAAGGAGUCCUUUUAAUGGCACACAAUGGGGACUAUCAUUUACAGAACACGGGUUUCACCAAACCAAGAGGGAAGAGGGUGCAAGUGACACAUCAACAAAACAUAGUGGGCUUCCUCUAUGGGCUCCUGACACCCACAAAGGCUGGGACAUGUGUUCCAUCUCUUCAAGCUGAAAGAGAGAAGACCCAGCCUCUAAAGUGCCGAUUGUUCCUCCUACGUCUGCAUGUGAGAGUGUAUGACCGAAAACAAAUAUGGUCCUCGUGGGUUUUAAUGCACAUGUGCAUUUUGUGUAAACAUGUGCAUGCUGUAAAUACUACAGCAUGUGCAUAAAGACUGUGAAACUUUGUUUAAAACAUGCACAUGCAAAGAAAGUACAUAUGAAAUAUGGACACAUAAGGUUGAUAUUUCUUUUUUUGGACAACUGUGUAUUUUUAAAUUUAAGAACAUGUUUAUAUAGUAAAACUAACUUCUAGGUGAAGAUUUUCCCAUGAUACCUAAUGCAUAUAUCACAAAUUCUGACAUUUGAUACAAAAGGCAGUGUAAGAAAUUUAUAUUUCACAGUAAUGCAAUAAGAAAUUGUUGCUAUAGCUCACUUAUCUUUCAGUCAAGUUGCCUGGAUUUGAUCCAUCUGCAGCAUAUAGUAAUGUCCUUCUACAUGUGAGUGAUGUAGUAGAAGGAAUAGACUAAUUCUUUAAGAAGUCAGAGUUAAAGUGAUUGGUGGCAGUGCAUUGCAGCAGCUUUUCUUUUCCACAAAUGAUUCAUGGUGGUUAAAUGCUUAUUUUUUUCAUUCCCACAUACAUGCUUCAUUGUAACUGAGGCCUGUUUUUGUUCCCUAUUGUGGCCAUUACAGACACUGAUUUCUUUGUCCCGUUGUGUAGCAAAUUUAAAUGGCGAAACAGAUCUUAAUCUAUCAUUGAAAACACAUCAAACGAAAUGAUUUCAUGUGAAACUUCAGCAAACACCAUAAAAACACAAAAGGCAAGCUCACACAAUUUAGUCUCACAGCUCGAUUUGAAUUGCUGACAAGCCAGUCUGUGGUGUUCUCAAACCAUUACGUUCCCAAGUAUCUCUAGAGUUGACAUUACAUCUUGUUGUGUUUGUUCUAAGGAUUAAAUCCUCAGCAUAUCCACACAGCCCUUCCAGACAUGGAUCACAGACUAUUACACACUACUUCUUCCGGAUGGAUGUUCCUGUAUCUUCCUGAAUAGGAGGAGUGCCACAAAAGGAGGGUCAAGGGCUGUACCGGUUAACCGCUUUGACGAGGUACCCUCCACUGUCUCUUGCCUUGGAGAAAGAACCCAUCGCCUCGUCUCACCGUCAAACUUUAACCUUUCUCAACUUUAAUUACACUAAGUAAGUUUGGAGUGUGCCGCGGUGCUGUCUGGCCGACUCAGCUCCAUCCUCGCGCUGAUGGGAAGCCUGCAUGGGUGCCGCGGCCCCCGCUGCCUCUGACACACUGACGCUACACAGCACUGACGCCGAUGCUGACGCUUUGCUUUGGCCUGCUUCCUGACCAUGCAAACACAGGCGGAUAUACACACACAUUCACCACUAAAAAUCUGCAAGCGUCCAUCGGAGCUGUGUUCAAACAACAUUUAGCAGAUUUCCUGCUUCUGGGGUUUAUUUGUAGAUCAACAAAUUCAUAAAAUAUGUUUAUCUACAUCAUGGGAUACCACUCAGCUCAAUGUACGUCUGUACUUACAUGCACAUAAAUGUAUGUUUAAUGCUAAAGCUCUUAUGAGGGGCACUUCAGUACAAGCACCAGUGCUUAGUCAUACUUUAGCCAUCCUGAAAUAGACGAAGACAACAUUCCUUCAUCAUGGCGUUGAUGACCUUUUUGUACAGACUAUCCGCACUGUGCCAAAAACACCAUUUGGUAUUUUUGUUUGUGCAUGAGAGAGGGAGGGUGAUGGUGAGAUGAAGAAAGAUCUUGGGUAUGCUUUCUCAUUACUCAUUCCUCUGCAGGGGUGAAAAAGCUGUUUUUUCCUGUUAUGUUGUCAGAGCUUCCAGUUUGGUAAUAAAGCAGAUUUUCUCGUACAUGUGGGAUUGCCCAUUCAGAAAAUCACAUACAUGUAUUUAGCUACUUCCUUCUUGUUCAGUGCAUGUGCAUGUAAAAAUGCCCAUUCAUCACUGGACAACUAUUCAAGUAAUCUAUAACUCUGUAAAAUGACAGAAUUGACCUAGAAGAGAGCAACAACAUUCAGCAGGAGCUGAAAAAAAGAGCAAUAAGCUACAAAGCAAAACCGACAUCCUUAACAAUGUCUGAAAAGCCAGCGUUUUCUCGUCACACUUUUGGCUUUAUUUUUAAACACAGUCUUGAGUGCCUGACUCAGACAGUUCGAUCGAUUCGCAGGUAGUCGAUUGCGCCACUCACAUGUUCACCCUUAUGAUAAUAGGCCCUUUUAGAGUCAUCUAAUUCUGAUGAUAAAUUGGACUUCCAUAGUAAGCCAAAAAAGGAGUUACUGUGGUAACCGCGUGGCCUGUCAAUCACUUGCAAUCAGCCUUUUUUCUCUGUUCAUUGCUUGAUGCGUCAAGAUUAGGACCUUCUCCGUGGGGGGCUUCAAAACACUCAGGAAAUGAAGAACCGUGUGGAAGUUCUACGGCUGAUGUUUGGAAACUUUGCAGAAUGUGACCCUUUGGCUUUGGCUUACUUGCAGCUGAGAGGAGCUGAAACUUGACUUUUGUGGUGACGUGUGGGCACCAAUUAAUACACACAAAACCCUUUGUCUUGUAGCUGUAACAAAACAUUUUCAAAAAUACAACUGCGCGCUAACCUCUUGUUUGAAACCUCUACAGUGUCUUCAUCAGCUACAGAGACAGCAUGUGUUUCUGACCACAGAGGCUCAUAAUGAAAUGCCCACAUUAUGAAUAGAAGGCCAUUUAAAUGCUAAUGCUUUCCAUGUAUAAAGGGUAGGUAAGGGUUGUAAACAUUGUACUGUAUGCCAUGGAGAUAAUGACAAUCUUAAAUGCAAAAACAUUAGAAUCUGUUUCUAAUAAAAAUCAGACAAAAAACAUGAAACAUAA